CGGCUACUGGACUCCGUGCCCGGGGACACUACCUUCUGCAUGGAAAAUUGCCACCAUAAUCCCCGUCCUGAAACCCGGAAAGGAAGCCUCUUGUCCUGCCAGUUAUCGUCCCAUCGCGCUGACAAGCUGCAUAGGAAAAACCUUCGAGCGAAUGUGUGAUUUGCAUGAAGAUUGCUGCGCUGCACAGUUAAGUACAAGAUCGAUCCUUCGUAUGUGACCCGUUGCGAGUGAAGGACAAAGAAGUGGUUCACCCGCUUUCAACGAGAUUGCUAAUAAAGUCUUCGAACAUUGA